UUGUUGGGGGUUUGACACUUCUCAGUAACCGAAGCUAACGCGUGAAGUNGACCGCCUGGGGAGUACGGCCGCCAAGGUUAAAACUCAAAGGAAUUGANCGGGGACCCCGCACCAANCGGUGGAUUAUGUGGAUUAAUUCGAUGCAACGCGAAAAACCUUACCUACCCUUGACAUGUCCGAGAGCCCGCAGAGAUGUGGGUGUGCCCGAAAGGGAAUCGGAACACAGGUGCUGCAUGGCUGUCGUCAGCUCGUGUCGUGAGAUGUUGGGUUAAGUCCCGCAACGAGCGCAACCCUUGUCAUUAGUUGCUACAUUCAGUUGGGCACUCUAAUGAGACUGCCGGUGACAAACCGGAGGAAGGUGGGGAUGACGUCAAGUCCUCAUGGCCCUUAUGGGUAGGGCUUCACACGUAAUACAAUGGCGCGUACAGAGGGUUGCCAAGGAGCGAUCUGGAGCCAAUCCCGAAAAGCGCGUCGUAGUCCGGAUUGCAGUCUGCAACUCGACUGCAUGAAGUCGGAAUCGCUAGUAAUCGCGGAUCAGCAUGUCGCGGUGAAUACGUUCCCGGGUCUUGUACACACCGCCCGUCACACCAUGGGAGUGGGUUUCACCAGAAGCCGGUCGCCUAACCGCAAGGAGGGCGCCGACCACGGUGAGAUUCAUGACCUGGGGUGAAGUCGUAANCAAGGUACC
rnacentral:rRNA from 1 species